UGGGGGAUAUUGCACAAUGGGCGAAAGCCUGAUGCAGCAACGCCGCGUGAGGGAAGACGGUUUUCGGAUUGUAAACCUCUGUCUUCGGUGAAGAAAAAAAUGACGGUAGCCGAGGCGGAAGCCACGGCUAACUACGUGCCAGCAGCCGCGGUAAUACGUAGGUGGCGAGCGUUGUACGGAAUUACUGGGUGUAAAGGGAGCGCAGGCGGGGAGACAAGUCAGCUGUGAAAACUAUGGGCUUAACCCAUAAACUGCAGUUGAAACUGUUUUGCUUGAGUGGAGUAGAGGUAGGCGGAAUUCCGAGUGUAGCGGUGAAAUGCGUAGAUAUUCGGAGGAACACCAGUGGCGAAGGCGGCCUACUGGGCUCUAACUGACGCUGAGGCUCGAAAGUGUGGGGAGCAAACA
rnacentral:rRNA from 1 species